UUCCUUUUAAUUUGGGAGACACUGGAUGCCAAGCAUUUUCAGUCUUCACUGAACUGUCUCUUUUUGAAAGACUGAACGCCAAGAAGCGUAAAUUUCAGAAAAAGUAUCAUUGUCCUAGAAAAUUGAGUCCUAUAAGAGAGGGGAGAAGUACAGGAGACUAGACAUUGGUGAAGCUCGCACUGAGGGGAAUGAGACAUUUCUAAGUGGAAUGAAAGGGAAAGAGAAUUGAAAAGGUCGCCA